CAUUGCGAGUUGGAAUCAGAAGGAAGUCGGCAGCAAACAUCUGACCUGACGAACAGAAACUUUAUAUAAGGCAUUUGACUGGGGGUAAGGUUGCAAAGCGAACCAAAGCCCUAUAGCUAUUCGGAACGGUUGGUGUAAAUGAAGCAGGUAUAAGAUGGAAAGAUAAU
rnacentral:ncRNA from 1 species